rnacentral:rRNA from 1 species
UCCCCUAGUAACUGCGAGUGAAGCGGGAAAAGCUCAAAUUUAAAAUCUGGUGGUCUUUGGCCAUCCGAGUUGUAAUUUAGAGAAGCGUCUUCCGCGCUGGACCAUGCACAAGUCUCCUGGAAUGGAGCGUCAUAGAGGGUGAGAAUCCCGUCUUUGGCAUGGACCCCAGGGCUUCUGUGAUGCGCUCUCAAAGAGUCGAGUUGUUUGGGAAUGCAGCUCAAAAUGGGUGGUGAACUCCAUCUAAAGCUAAAUAUUGGCGAGAGACCGAUAGCGAACAAGUACCGUGAGGGAAAGAUGAAAAGCACUUUGGAAAGAGAGUGAAACAGUACGUGAAAUUGUUGAAAGGGAAACGCUUGAAGUCAGUCGCGUCGACCGAGACUCAGCCUUGCCUCGGCUUGGUGUACUUCUCGGACCGACGGGUCAGCAUCAAUUUCGAUCCUUGGAUAAUGGCAAGGGAAAGGUGGCACCUUUACAGGUGUGUUAUAGUCCUCUGUCGCAUGCAAGGGUCGGGAUUGAGGAACUCAGCAUGCACCUCAUCGGUGUCGGGGCCUCGGCCUACGUUACGUGCUUAGGAUGCUGGCAUAAUGGCUUUAAACGACCCGUCUUGAAACACGGACCAAGGAGUCUAACAUGCACGCGAGUGUUCGGGUGGAAAACCCGUGCGCGUAAUGAAAGUAAAAGUUGGGACCUCUGUCGUGGAGGGCACCGACGCCCGGACCAGACCUUCUGUGACGGCUCUGCGGUAGAGCGUG